CCCCUAGAUGUUCUGGGCCGCACGCGCGCUACACUGAACAGUUCAACAAGUCUUAACCUUGGCCGAUAGGUCUGGGUAAUCUUUGAACGCUGUUCGUGAUUGGGAUAGACCUUUGCAAUUAUGGGUCUUCAACGAGGAAUUCCUAGUAAACGCAAGUCAUCAGCUUGCAUUGAUUACGUCCCUGCCCUUUGUACACACCGCCCGUCGCACCUACCGAUUGAAUGGUCCGGUGAAAUCUCGGGACGGCGGCUUGGUCGCUUGCGUCCGACUGCUGAAACUUGAUUAAACCAUAUCAUUUAGAGGAAGGUGCAGUCGUAACA
rnacentral:rRNA from 1 species